ACCUGGCUGGUUCAGUUGGUAGAACAAUGUGACUCCUGAUCUCAGGAUUGUGAGUUCAAGCCCCACGUUGGGGG
rnacentral:tRNA from 1 species